rnacentral:rRNA from 1 species
GUGCAGCAGGCGCGAAACCUUCGCAAUGCGGGAAACCGCGACGAGGGGACUCCCAGUGCCUACGCUCAGCGUAGGCUGUUCCCGAGCCUAGAAAGCUCGGGGAGUAAGGGCUGGGUAAGACGGGUGCCAGCCGCCGCGGUAAUACCCGCAGCCCGAGUGGUGGCCACUAUUAUUGGGCCUAAAGCGUCCGUAGCCGGCCCGGUAAAUGCCUGGGUAAAUCGUGAGGCCUAACCUCACGAAUUCCGGGUAGACUGCCGGGCUAGGGACCGGAGGAGGGAGAGGGUACUCCAGGGGUAGGGGUGAAAUCCUGUAAUCCCUGGAGGACCACCGGUGGCGAAGGCGCUCUCCUAGGACGGGUCCGACGGUGAGGGACGAAAGCCAGGGGAGCGAACCGGAUUAGAUACCCGUGUAGU